CCUCCUGCCCCUUCCCCACGUGUAAAUGCGUCACAGGCUCUUAGGGGACAGGCUGACCCCCAUGGCUCGAUCUUCCCAAACACUGUCGGGGGCAGGUCUGCCAGGAGUCCUUGCUGAGGCCCUGGGGAAGUUUCCUUUGCUUGGAACAAUUUGGGUAGAAGGUUUCAAAUGAACUGGAGUGAAAAAGCAGAAGAUGAAAACCUGGGCGUGCCCUUCACAAAUGGGAAGAGACACGCGGGCGCACGUCUGUGAGUGUGGGGGCUGGGCUCCGAGUGAGACUUGUUGCGGGAACACAGCACUCCUUGUUCGAGGGUUGGAUCUGACGGAUCCGGGGCCUAAACUGGGAGGCCCUUCACACGAGGCUGUGGUUUCCUUCCUGCCUCGCCAUGAAAAGACUAUUUUUGCCGAGCUGUGUAAGUCUGUGUGUACGCCGGGCACGCAUGGCUGUCGGAUGCCAAGCCCGAAUAGCUGUACUCACACAGCUCAGCGAGACAGCCGCCCAAACAAAGCCGCCCCCCGGGCCCUGGCCGCCGACAGAGGGAAGAGGGGACCACGCUGAGCCCCAGGAAAAUCAAUUUCUGUCUGAUCCCCCCAAACCGAACUCAUGGUCACAGAAGACACCGUGGUUGAUGAAGGCUGGAGCAGGGGUGGAAGGAAGGAGAGAAGGUGAUCUGAGGGCACAAGAGUCCAGAAAACGGAAAGGACAAAUGGCCUCGAAUCCCUCUCAGAAGCGGAUGGGCAACAUCUGGAGAAUACAGCCAGCUAGCCAGUGAGACCCUCAUCCACACCGUCCCCCCACCAGCAGACCUACAUCCCCUCUGGACCCUGAGGCCUCAGGGGGCAGCAGGGGGUCUACGGCCCGGCUCAGAGAAAUGUUUUUGAUGCGUAAAGUAAAAACGUAGGAUCACAGCAACUGCACCACUGUUGUGGAAAUGUUUCUUUAAAAGCACAGUCAUGAGAUAG
rnacentral:lncRNA from 1 species